UGGACAUCUUUAAGCAUAGGUCUGGUA
rnacentral:piRNA from 1 species